rnacentral:rRNA from 1 species
AGAGUUUGAUCCUGGCUCAGGAUGAACGCUAGCGACAGGCUUAACACAUGCAAGUCGAGGGGCAGCGGAGGCGAGUGCUUGCACUUGCCAGACGGCGACCGGCGCACGGGUGAGUAACACGUAUGCGACCUGCCCGUAGCAGGGGGAUAAGCGGAAGAAAUUCCGCCUAAUACCGCGUAAUAUCUUUCGGGGGCAUCCCUGAGGGAUUAAAGGAAGUGAUUCCGGCUACGGAUGGGCAUGCGGCGCAUUAGCUAGUCGGCGGGGUAACGGCCCACCGAGGCGACGAUGCGUAGGGGUUCUGAGAGGAAGGUCCCCCACACUGGUACUGAGACACGGACCAGACUCCUACGGGAGGCAGCAGUGAGGAAUAUUGGUCAAUGGGCGAGAGCCUGAACCAGCCAAGUCGCGUGAGGGAAGACGGUCCUAUGGAUUGUAAACCUCUUUUGUCGGGGAGCAAAAAGGCCUCGUGAGGCCACAAGUGAGAGUACCCGAAGAAAAAGCAUCGGCUAACUCCGUGCCAGCAGCCGCGGUAAUACGGAGGAUGCGAGCGUUAUCCGGAUUUAUUUGGUUUAAAGGGUGCGUAGGCGGACUGGAAAGUCAGCGGUAAAAUCGAGAGGCUCAGCCUCUUUCCGCCGUUGAAACUGUCGGUCUUGAGUGGGCGAGAAGUAUGCGGAAUGCGCGGUGUAGCGGUGAAAUGCAUAGAUAUCACGCAGAACUCCGAUUGCGAAGGCAGCAUACCGGCGCCCGACUGACGCUGAGGCACGAAAGCGUGGGUAUCGAACAGGAUUAGAUACCCUGGUAGUCCACGCAGUAAACGAUGAAUACUAAUUGUCCGGUCAGAAUGAUGACUGGGUGAUACAGCGAAAGCGUUAAGUAUUCCACCUGGGGAGUACGCCGGCAACGGUGAAACUCAAAGGAAUUGACGGGGGCCCGCACAAGCGGAGGAACAUGUGGUUUAAUUCGAUGAUACGCGAGGAACCUUACCCGGGCUCAAACGUAGAAUGACAGACGGUGAAAGCCGUUCUCCCUUCGGGGCAGUCUACGAGGUGCUGCAUGGUUGUCGUCAGCUCGUGCCGUGAGGUGUCGGCUUAAGUGCCAUAACGAGCGCAACCCCCAUCUACAGUUGCUAACAGGUAAAGCUGAGGACUCUGUGGAGACUGCCGGCGCAAGCUGUGAGGAAGGCGGGGAUGACGUCAAAUCAGCACGGCCCUUACGUCCGGGGCGACACACGUGUUACAAUGGCAGGUACAGCGGGAAGCCAUAUGGCGACAUAGAGCGGAACCCGAAAACCUGUCUCAGUUCGGAUUGGAGUCUGCAACCCGACUCCAUGAAGCUGGAUUCGCUAGUAAUCGCGCAUCAGCCACGGCGCGGUGAAUACGAUGCCGGGCCUUGUACACACCGCCCGUCA